CACCGGAAGUCAAUGAAGCGGGUCUUUCCUACGCUAAAAACCACUGAGUGGAGUAUUUAGUACACAGGAAGUCGGCCAGAGAAACAUUUCUCAUAUUUGAAGGCCGGAAAGAGGGACAUUUCUGACACCGGAAGUCAGUGAGAGGACUCUUUCCCACACAGGAAGUCAGCUAGAGAGCCGUCUCCCCUCUCUGGAGCCGAGAGAGGCCGGUUUCCCCCACCAUAGCAGGGCUGGGAGAAAGGGAUGGGGAGAGUCCCUCCUGCCACUGACCCAGGAUGGAUAAAAGUACCCCUUUCAUAGAAGGAAGAAAAUGGGAACAAAGGUGCUGCUGAUCAUCUGAGGUUGCCUGCAUGGCAGUGAAGAACAUGGACCUUUGGGUAGCCCACCUGGGAGGAAUUUUCCAGAGAUCACUGUCUGAUGACCCUGUCUUGGAAUUGGAGCCAUGCAAGUUACACUGACCACGUUUGGGUUGGGAUAUUGAGGAGGUUAUGGUUAAAAGCAUACGAUGGGAGAUCAUAUUGUACUUGCGAGUGAGACCCGGCUGGAGGAAUGUUUUAAUUCUUCGGAAAUACCAAGUGGUCUCUACAGAACACUGAAGAUUCUGCUCUCAGGGUGUUGAUUGACGUCUGGAAGGCAGAGACUCGUGGAUUAGCAAGCAUGUGUAAGAAAGUGCUCUGGAUGCCACAGGGUGGUAAUUUGUGCAUGGAAAAUGGCUGGGGUGAAGAGGAGACUAGGCUUUAUCUUGUCAGGUGGUCUCUGUGGUUCCAGUACCCAUGAGGGAGCUGAGUCUGAAGGACCUUGGAGCUUUGCAGAUAUAAAGAAAAAGCUGAUUUAAGCUUCCCCAGUUUUCCCUGCCCCCUUCAUGAAAGAAUUACAGCAUAUAAUAAGAAAAAUCUGGAGAAACACUUAUUUUUAUGG
ensembl:lncRNA MIATNB MIAT neighbor